ACAAGAGUUCCUCCCCUCUGGAAAAUACAGCAUUCAAAGUGCCAUCUUGGAAGCAAGACUGGACGUUUACUAGACAACAAACCUGCAGAUGCCUGAAUCUAGGACUAUGCAUCCUCCAGAAUUGACUCCAGGGUAGAUAAGACUCCAUAUCUCGGGACAAGGGAACCCAGAAGCCUGACAUGCUGGAAAAGGACACGAUUGGAGAAACUGGUUGUUUUUACCAAGGCUUUAACUGGAAGGGUAUGCUUCCCUUUAAGGAAUCAAGGUUGACUUGCAGAGCCAAUAAAAGCCCCUUGGGAAUAUUCACCUCAUAUCUUGUCUACACAGUCUCCUUAUAGGUUUCCUAACCUGUGUUUCCAGCUUAUUCUCAUUCUUCUUGGAUGUGGUACAAGAGUUCAGGAACUACUGUACAUGGAUUCAAGCUACAACACAGAGUCAAGAAACUUAUUAUAUUUGAGCUAUUAAUAGUUACAGCAAUUUGGACAAAGUAUGCUCUUGUGAGCAAAACUGAAAUAUUUACCUUUCUCUCUCUACCUGAAUUCUCCAGAAUGCAGAAACUAUCAGGGAUUAUCUUUAUUUUAUGGCAAUAUAGUUAUCUGUAUAAGUUCAAUAAGAAUAUGUUUUCUUUUCUAAUAGAACACAAUUGAAAAUGCUGGUUAUUUUACCAAGGCUUUGACCUGAAUGACAUAUUUUCAGAUAUGAACAAAUUGCUUUGAGAAAUUGAAUUUGACUUACAGAGCUGAUAAAAGUUUCCUUUAAAAGACUGGCCUGGCACCUUGUCUACAUGGUUUCCUUACAAGAUUCCUGACCUUGUGGUGUGUAAAGAAUGUCACUUGUUAACACUCCCAAGAUCUGCAAGAUAUUUUAGAAACUUAAGAUUUUUUUGUGACCUCGAGAUAAAUGGAAUUCACCCAGUUUGAAUAGGUAUCACAGGCACAAUCUAGUGGCAAAAAUUUCUCUUGGAUUUUUGGCCUUGAGGGGCUUUUAAAAGUCUAAUCUGGUAUUUCUUAUGAAAAAGUUCUAGAAAAGCCGGUUGAAAACAGUCUAUAUGUUCAAUUACUAUUUUUGAUGUACUUUAUUAAAAAAAAUCAGACCAAGUAUAAUAAAACUAAAGCUUAUUUCAAAAAUAAAUUGGUAUUAAUAUGUGGUGAAAAAAUGGGACUGGAGGGAGAAAUAUUAUGUUUUGGAAAAAAAAAACAACUAAAUUACACCUAUUAUUAGAUUAUAGUCCUAAUCAUUGUUUUUGAGUUGUAUUCUUUGCCUAUAAUUUGGGCUGAAUUCUUUCCUGGGUACAAAUGUCCAAACUAAUGUGUUCAAAAUUUCCUCCCAGUUUUCUCACAUGAAAUCACUAGAAAUUAAAACUUUGAUUUUUCUGAAGCCCUGCAAACUAAAGCUAGACAACUUAAUAUAAACUUAGCAGAGAUCACUAUAACAGCUUAUAUAUAAACAGCCUUCAUGCCUGUUGAUGUGUGAACUACUCAA
rnacentral:lncRNA from 1 species